rnacentral:rRNA from 1 species
GGGUUGUGAGGUUAAGCGACUAAGCGUACACGGUGGAUGCCCUGGCAGUCAGAGGCGAUGAAGGACGUGCUAAUCUGCGAUAAGCGUCGGUAAGGUGAUAUGAACCGUUAUAACCGGCGAUUUCCGAAUGGGGAAACCCAGUGUGAUUCGUCACACUAUCAUUAACUGAAUCCAUAGGUUAAUGAGGCGAACCGGGGGAACUGAAACAUCUAAGUACCCCGAGGAAAAGAAAUCAACCGAGAUUCCCCCAGUAGCGGCGAGCGAACGGGGAGGAGCCCAGAGCCUGAAUCAGUGUGUGUGUUAGUGGAAGCGUCUGGAAAGGCGCGCGAUACAGGGUGACAGCCCCGUACACAAAAAUGCACAUGCUGUGAGCUCGAUGAGUAGGGCGGGACACGUGGUAUCCUGUCUGAAUAUGGGGGGACCAUCCUCCAAGGCUAAAUACUCCUGACUGACCGAUAGUGAACCAGUACCGUGAGGGAAAGGCGAAAAGAACCCCGGCGAGGGGAGUGAAAAAGAACCUGAAACCGUGUACGUACAAGCAGUGGGAGCCUCUUUAUGGGGUGACUGCGUACCUUUUGUAUAAUGGGUCAGCGACUUAUAUUCUGUAGCAAGGUUAACCGAAUAGGGGAGCCGAAGGGAAACCGAGUCUUAACUGGGCGUUAAGUUGCAGGGUAUAGACCCGAAACCCGGUGAUCUAGCCAUGGGCAGGUUGAAGGUUGGGUAACACUAACUGGAGGACCGAACCGACUAAUGUUGAAAAAUUAGCGGAUGACUUGUGGCUGGGGGUGAAAGGCCAAUCAAACCGGGAGAUAGCUGGUUCUCCCCGAAAGCUAUUUAGGUAGCGCCUCGUGAAUUCAUCUCCGGGGGUAGAGCACUGUUUCGGCAAGGGGGUCAUCCCGACUUACCAACCCGAUGCAAACUGCGAAUACCGGAGAAUGUUAUCACGGGAGACACACGGCGGGUGCUAACGUCCGUCGUGAAGAGGGAAACAACCCAGACCGCCAGCUAAGGUCCCAAAGUCAUGGUUAAGUGGGAAACGAUGUGGGAAGGCCCAGACAGCCAGGAUGUUGGCUUAGAAGCAGCCAUCAUUUAAAGAAAGCGUAAUAGCUCACUGGUCGAGUCGGCCUGCGCGGAAGAUGUAACGGGGCUAAACCAUGCACCGAAGCUGCGGCAGCGACGCUUAUGCGUUGUUGGGUAGGGGAGCGUUCUGUAAGCCUGCGAAGGUGUGCUGUGAGGCAUGCUGGAGGUAUCAGAAGUGCGAAUGCUGACAUAAGUAACGAUAAAGCGGGUGAAAAGCCCGCUCGCCGGAAGACCAAGGGUUCCUGUCCAACGUUAAUCGGGGCAGGGUGAGUCGACCCCUAAGGCGAGGCCGAAAGGCGUAGUCGAUGGGAAACAGGUUAAUAUUCCUGUACUUGGUGUUACUGCGAAGGGGGGACGGAGAAGGCUAUGUUGGCCGGGCGACGGUUGUCCCGGUUUAAGCGUGUAGGCUGGUUUUCCAGGCAAAUCCGGAAAAUCAAGGCUGAGGCGUGAUGACGAGGCACUACGGUGCUGAAGCAACAAAUGCCCUGCUUCCAGGAAAAGCCUCUAAGCAUCAGGUAACAUCAAAUCGUACCCCAAACCGACACAGGUGGUCAGGUAGAGAAUACCAAGGCGCUUGAGAGAACUCGGGUGAAGGAACUAGGCAAAAUGGUGCCGUAACUUCGGGAGAAGGCACGCUGAUAUGUAGGUGAAGCGACUUGCUCGUGGAGCUGAAAUCAGUCGAAGAUACCAGCUGGCUGCAACUGUUUAUUAAAAACACAGCACUGUGCAAACACGAAAGUGGACGUAUACGGUGUGACGCCUGCCCGGUGCCGGAAGGUUAAUUGAUGGGGUUAGCGGUAACGCGAAGCUCUUGAUCGAAGCCCCGGUAAACGGCGGCCGUAACUAUAACGGUCCUAAGGUAGCGAAAUUCCUUGUCGGGUAAGUUCCGACCUGCACGAAUGGCGUAAUGAUGGCCAGGCUGUCUCCACCCGAGACUCAGUGAAAUUGAACUCGCUGUGAAGAUGCAGUGUACCCGCGGCAAGACGGAAAGACCCCGUGAACCUUUACUAUAGCUUGACACUGAACAUUGAGCCUUGAUGUGUAGGAUAGGUGGGAGGCUUUGAAGUGUGGACGCCAGUCUGCAUGGAGCCGACCUUGAAAUACCACCCUUUAAUGUUUGAUGUUCUAACGUUGGCCCCUAAUCGGGGUUGCGGACAGUGUCUGGUGGGUAGUUUGACUGGGGCGGUCUCCUCCUAAAGAGUAACGGAGGAGCACGAAGGUUGGCUAAUCCUGGUCGGACAUCAGGAGGUUAGUGCAAUGGCAUAAGCCAGCUUGACUGCGAGCGUGACGGCGCGAGCAGGUGCGAAAGCAGGUCAUAGUGAUCCGGUGGUUCUGAAUGGAAGGGCCAUCGCUCAACGGAUAAAAGGUACUCCGGGGAUAACAGGCUGAUACCGCCCAAGAGUUCAUAUCGACGGCGGUGUUUGGCACCUCGAUGUCGGCUCAUCACAUCCUGGGGCUGAAGUAGGUCCCAAGGGUAUGGCUGUUCGCCAUUUAAAGUGGUACGCGAGCUGGGUUUAGAACGUCGUGAGACAGUUCGGUCCCUAUCUGCCGUGGGCGCUGGAGAACUGAGGGGGGCUGCUCCUAGUACGAGAGGACCGGAGUGGACGCAUCACUGGUGUUCGGGUUGUCAUGCCAAUGGCACUGCCCGGUAGCUAAAUGCGGAAGAGAUAAGUGCUGAAAGCAUCUAAGCACGAAACUUGCCCCGAGAUGAGUUCUCCCUGACUCCUUGAGAGUCCUGAAGGAACGUUGAAGACGACGACGUUGAUAGGCCGGGUGUGUAAGCGCAGCGAUGCGUUGAGCUAACCGGUACUAAUGAACCGUGAGGCUUAACCUUACAACGCCGAAG